AUUGAACGCUGACGGCAUGCCUUACACAUGCAAGUCGAACGGCAGCACGGGAGCAAUCCUGGUGGCGAGUGGCGAACGGGUGAGUAAUGUAUCGGAACGUACCUUUCAGUGGGGAUAACGUAGCGAAAGUUACGCUAAUACCGCAUAUUCUGUGAGCAGGAAAGCAGGGGAUCGCAAGACCUUGCGCUGAUUGAGCGGCCGAUAUCAGAUUAGCUAGUUGGUGAGGUAAAGGCUCACCAAGGCGACGAUCUGUAGCGGGUCUGAGAGGAUGAUCCGCCACACUGGAACUGAGACACGGUCCAGACUCCUACGGGAGGCAGCAGUGGGGAAUUUUGGACAAUGGGCGCAAGCCUGAUCCAGCCAUGCCGCGUGAGUGAAGAAGGCCUUCGGGUUGUAAAGCUCUUUCAGCCGGGAAGAAAACGCAUGGGUUAAUACCCUGUGUGGAUGACGGUACCGGAAUAAGAAGCACCGGCUAACUACGUG
rnacentral:rRNA from 1 species